UACGGGGGGGGCAAGCGUUGUUCGGAAUUACUGGGCGUAAAGGGCGCGUAGGCGGCUCGGCACGUCCGUUGUGAAAUCGCCCGGCUCAACUGGGCGGGGUCAGCGGAUACGGUCGAGCUUGAGCAAGCUAGGGGGUAAUGGAAUUCCCGGUGUAGUGGUGGAAUGCGUAGAUAUCGGGAGGAACACCAGUGGCGAAGGCGGUUACCUGGGGCUUUGCUGACGCUGAUGCGCGAAAGCGUGGGGAGCGAUCCGG
rnacentral:rRNA from 1 species